rnacentral:piRNA from 1 species
UGUGAAAUAUUGUGCGCCCAUAGCAGU